GAUGAACGCUGGCGGCGUGCCUAAUACAUGCAAGUCGAGCGAACAGACGAGGAGCUUGCUCCUCUGACGUUAGCGGCGGACGGGUGAGUAACACGUGGAUAACCUACCUAUCAGACUGGGAUAACUUCGGGAAACCGGAGCUAAUACCGGAUAAUAUAUUGAACCGCAUGGUUCAAUAGUGAAAGACGGUUUUGCUGUCACUUAUAGAUGGAUCCGCGCCGCAUUAGCUAGUUGGUAAGGUAACGGCUUAUCAAGGCAACGAUGCGUAUCCGACCUGAGAGGGUGAUCGGCCACACGGGAACGGAGACACGGUCCAUGCUCCUACGGGAGGCAGCAGUAGGGAAUCUUCCGCAAUAGGCGAAAGCCUGACGGAGCAACGCCGCGUGAGUGAUGAAGGUCUUCGGAUCGUAAAACUCUGUUAUGAGUGAAGAACAAAUGUGUAAGUAACUAUGCACGUCUUGACGGUACCUAAUCAGAAAGCCACGGCUAACUACGUG
rnacentral:rRNA from 1 species